GACGAACGCUGGCGGCGUGCCUAAUACAUGCAAGUCGAACGGAGUGGCGCACGGGUGAGUAAUAUAGAGCUAAUCUGCCCCUUGCUGGAGCACAACAGCUAGAAAUGACUUCUAAUACUCCAUAGAAAGGGAUGAGACUAUAUCGCAUUAGCGAGUCGGUGGGGUAACGGCCGACCGAGGCUAUGACGCGUAACUGGGCUGAGAGGAUGAUCAGUCAAAUUGGAACUGAGACACGGUUCAAACUCCUACGAGAGUCAGCAGUAGGGAAUAUUGCGCAAUGGGGGAGACCCUGACGGAGCAUCGCGGUGUGGAGGAUGACACGUUUCAGAGCAUAAACUCCUUUUGAUAGGGAAGCGGUACCUAACGAAUAAGCACCGGCUAACUCCGUGCCAGCAGCCGCGGUAAUUC
rnacentral:rRNA from 1 species